rnacentral:misc_RNA from 1 species
UGUUGAGAGCGAUGCUAAGAUGAUGG